rnacentral:rRNA from 1 species
CCUACGGGAGGCAGCAGUGAGGAAUAUUGGUCAAUGGGCGCGAGCCUGAACCAGCCAAGUAGCGUGAAGGAUGACUGCCCUACGGGUUGUAAACUUCUUUUAUAAAGGAAUAAAGGGAGGCACGUGUGCCGUUUUGUAGGUAAGUUAUGAAUAAGGAUCGGCUAACUCCGUGCCAGCAGCCGCGGUAAUACGGAGGAUCCGAGCGUUAUCCGGAUUUAUUGGGUUUAAAGGGAGCGUAGAUGGGUUGUUAAGUCAGUUGUGAUAGUUUGCGGCUCAACCGUAAAAUUGCAAUUGAUACUGGCAGUCUUGUGUACAGUUGAGGUAGGCGGAAUUCGUGUUGUAGCGGU